GACGAACGCUGGCGGCGUGCCUAAUACAUGCAAGUCGAACGCUGAAGGAGGAGCUUGCUUCUCUGGAUGAGUUGCGAACGGGUGAGUAACGCGUAGGUAACCUGCCUGGUAGCGGGGGAUAACUAUUGGAAACGAUAGCUAAUACCGCAUAAUAGUAGAUGUUGCAUGACAUUUGCUUCAAAGGUGCAAUUGCCUCACUACCAGAUGGACCUGCGUUGUAUUAGCUAGUUGGUGAGGUAACGGCUCACCAAGGCAACGAUACAUAGCCGACCUGAGAGGGUGAUCGGCCACACUGGGACGGAGACACGGCCCAGACUCCUACGGGAGGCAGCAGUAGGGAAUAUUCGGCAAUGGACGGAAGACUGACCGAGCAACGCCGCGGGAGUGAAGAAGGGUUUCGGAUCGUAAAGCUCUGUUGUAAGAGAAGAACGAGUGUGAGAGUGGAAAGUUCACACUGUGACGGUAUCUUACCAGAAAGGGACGGCUAACUACGUG
rnacentral:rRNA from 1 species